rnacentral:rRNA from 1 species
GAUGAAUGCUGGCGGCGCGCCUAACACAUGCAAGUCGAGCGGAAAGGCCCUUCGGGGUACUCGAGCGGCGGACGGCUGAGUAACGCGUGGGAACAUGCCCCAAAGUGAGGAAUAACUGCCCGAAAGGGUAGCUAAUGCCGCAUAUGAUCUUCGGAUUAAAGGAUUUAUCCGCUUUGGGAGUGGCCCGCGUACGAUUAGAUAGUUGGUGAGGUAAAGGCUCACCAAGUCUACGAUCGUUAACUGGUCUGAGAGGAUGAUCAGUCAGACUGGAACUGAAACACGGUCCAAACUCCUACGGGAGGCAGCAGUGAGGAAUCUUCCACAAUGGGCGAAAGCCUGAUGGAGCGACCCCGCGUGCAGGAUGAAGGCCUUCGGGUUGUAAACUGCUUUUAUAAGUGAAGAAUAUGACGGUAACUUAUGAAUAAGCACCGGCUAACUACGUG